rnacentral:rRNA from 1 species
UACGGAGGAUCCGAGCGUUAUCCGGAUUUAUUGGGUUUAAAGGGUGCGUAGGCGGCCUGUUAAGUCAGGGGUGAAAGACGGUGGCUCAACCAUCGCAGUGCCUUUGAUACUGAUGGGCUUGAAUGAACCUGAGGUAGGCGGAAUGUGACAAGUAGCGGUGAAAUGCAUAGAUAUGUCACAGAACACCAAUUGCGAAGGCAGCUUACUAAAGUUUAAUUGACGCUGAGGCACGAAAGCGUGGGGAUCAAACAGG